UGGCCAAGUCAAUCACCCGAUCUGAACCUAAUUGAGCAUGCCUUGUAUAUGCUGAUGAGAAAACUACGCCCCUCAAAC